rnacentral:rRNA from 1 species
GAUGAACGCUGGCGGCGUGCCUAACACAUGCAAGUCGAGCGAGAAGCCAUAAAAGGACACUUCGGUAGAAUUAUAUGGCGGAAAGCGGCGGACGGGUGAGUAACGCGUGGGAAACCUGCCUUUCACAGAGGGAUAGCCGAAGGAAACUACGAUUAAUACCUCAUAAAGCAAAAGCUUCGCAUGGAGCGAUUGCCAAAGAAUAAUCGGUGAAAGAUGGUCCCGCGUCUGAUUAGUUAGUUGGUAAGGUAGCGGCUUACCAAGGCGACGAUCAGUAGCCGGCCUGAGAGGGUGAACGGCCACAUUGGAACUGAGACACGGUCCAGACUCCUACGGGAGGCAGCAGUGGGGGAUAUUGCACAAUGGGCGAAAGCCUGAUGCAGCAACGCCGCGUGAAGGAAGAAGGCUUUCGAGUCGUAAACUUCUG